rnacentral:ncRNA from 1 species
AUAAAAAUAUUGGAAAAAACGAGUAGAUUUAUUGAAGUUUAAAGAGAGUAGGCGUUUGGUGGAAGCCUAUAAUGGAAAUAGAUUCGAAAAUCAUUUUUCUUAUGCAAGUCUGAAAUAAUAUUAAGAUUUGUCGCUGUAGUAGGCGUUAUCUAUACUCGGCAUUGAUAGAUGCUUGUUAAGAGUGCUUACAUUUAUGUAAGAAAUAAGGUGGUAACGCGGUAAUUCGUCCUUUGU